rnacentral:rRNA from 1 species
UAGGGAAUCUUCGGCAAUGGGGGCAACCCUGACCGAGCAACGCCGCGUGAGUGAAGAAGGUUUUCGGAUCGUAAAGCUCUGUUGUAAGAGAAGAACGUGUGUGAGAGUGGAAAGUUCACACAGUAACGGUAACUUACCAGAAAGGGACGGCUAACUACGUGCCAGCAGCCGCGGUAAUACGUAGGUCCCGAGCGUUGUCCGGAUUUAUUGGGCGUAAAGCGAGCGCAGGCGGUUUAAUAAGUCUGAAGUUAAAGGCAGUGGCUUAACCAUUGUUCGCUUUGGAAACUGUUAAACUUGAGUGCAGAAGGGGCGAGUGGAAUUCCAUGUGUAGCGGUGAAAUGCGUAGAUAUAUGGAGGAACACCGGUGGCGAAAGCGGCUCUCUGGUCUGUAACUGACGCUGAGGCUCGAAAGCGUGGGGAGCAAACAGG